GGUUAAGUGACUAAGCGUACACGGUGGAUGCCUUGGCAGUCAGAGGCGAUGAAAGACGUAGUAACUUGCGAUAAGCCCAGAUUAGGUAGUAACAACCAUUUGAGUCUGGGAUUUCUGAAUGGGGAAACCCACGUGCAUAAGCACGUAUCCUUACCUGAAUACAUAGGGUAAGGAGGCGAACCGGGGGAACUGAAACAUCUAAGUACCCCGAGGAAAAGAAAUCAACCGAGAUUCCGAAAGUAGCGGCGAGCGAAAUUGGACUAGCCCUUAAGCUUUACACGCGUUAGACGAACGGUCUGGAAAGUCCGACGAUACAGGGUGAUAGUCCCGUAGUUGACGACGUGUGUUCAGUGAAAUCGAGUAGGGCGGGACACGUGAUAUCCUGUCUGAAUAUGGGGGGACCAUCCUCCAAGGCUAAAUACUACUGACUGACCGAUAGUGAACCAGUACCGUGAGGGAAAGGCGAAAAGAACCCCUGUGAGGGGAGUGAAAUAGAACCUGAAACCGUGUACGUACAAGCAGUAGGAGCAGGCUUGUCCUGUGACUGCGUACCUUUUGUAUAAUGGGUCAGCGACUUAUAUUCAGUGGCAAGGUUAACCAUCUAGGGGAGCCGUAGGGAAACCGAGUCUUAACUGGGCGUUCAGUCUCUGGAUAUAGACCCGAAACCAGGUGAUCUAGCCAUGGGCAGGUUGAAGGUUGAGUAACAUCAACUGGAGGACCGAACCGACUAAUGUUGAAAAAUUAGCGGAUGACUUGUGGCUAGGGGUGAAAGGCCAAUCAAACCUGGAGAUAGCUGGUUCUCCCCGAAAGCUAUUUAGGUAGCGCCUCGGACGAAUACUACUGGGGGUAGAGCACUGUUAAGGCUAGGGGGUCAUCCCGACUUACCAACCCUUUGCAAACUCCGAAUACCAGUAAGUACUAUCCGGGAGACACACGGCGGGUGCUAACGUCCGUCGUGGAGAGGGAAACAACCCAGACCGCCAGCUAAGGUCCCAAAUUACUACUAAGUGGGAAACGAUGUGGGAAGGCUCAGACAGCCAGGAUGUUGGCUUAGAAGCAGCCAUCAUUUAAAGAAAGCGUAAUAGCUCACUGGUCGAGUCGGCCUGCGCGGAAGAUGUAACGGGGCUAAGUAGUAAACCGAAGCUGCGGCAAUACUCUUUGAGUAUUGGGUAGGGGAGCGUUCUGUAAGCGGUUGAAGGUGUGUGGUAACGCAUGCUGGACGUAUCAGAAGUGCGAAUGCUGACAUGAGUAACGAUAAAGGGGGUGAAAAACCUCCUCGCCGGAAGACCAAGGGUUCCUGUCCAACGUUAAUCGGGGCAGGGUAAGUCGACCCCUAAGGCGAGGCCGAAAGGCGUAGUCGAUGGGAAACGGGUUAAUAUUCCCGUACUUCUUACAAUUGCGAUGGGGGGACGGAGAAGGCUAGGUGGGCCUGGCGACGGUUGUCCAGGUUCAAGUGCGUAGGCUUAAGAGUUAGGUAAAUCCGGCUCUUUUUAAGGCUGAGACACGACGUCGAGCACCUACGGGUGUGAAGUCAUUGAUGCCAUGCUUCCAGGAAAAGCCUCUAAGCUUCAGAUUGUAAGGAAUCGUACCCCAAACCGACACAGGUGGUCGGGUAGAGAAUACCAAGGCGCUUGAGAGAACUCGGGUGAAGGAACUAGGCAAAAUGGUACCGUAACUUCGGGAGAAGGUACGCUCUUGAUGGUGAAGUCCCUUGCGGAUGGAGCUGACGAGAGUCGCAGAUACCAGGUGGCUGCAACUGUUUAUUAAAAACACAGCACUGUGCAAAAUCGUAAGAUGACGUAUACGGUGUGACGCCUGCCCGGUGCCGGAAGGUUAAUUGAUGGGGUUAGACUUCGGUCGAAGCUCUUGAUCGAAGCCCCGGUAAACGGCGGCCGUAACUAUAACGGUCCUAAGGUAGCGAAAUUCCUUGUCGGGUAAGUUCCGACCUGCACGAAUGGCGUAAUGAUGGCCACGCUGUCUCCACCCGAGACUCAGUGAAAUUGAAAUCGCUGUGAAGAUGCAGUGUACCCGCGGCUAGACGGAAAGACCCCGUGAACCUUUACUACAGCUUGGCACUGAACAUUGACCCUACAUGUGUAGGAUAGGUGGGAGGCUUUGAAGCACGUACGCCAGUAUGUGUGGAGCCGUCCUUGAAAUACCACCCUUGUAGUGUUGAUGUUCUAACGUCGACCCCUAAUCGGGGUUACGGACAGUGCCUGGUGGGUAGUUUGACUGGGGCGGUCUCCUCCCAAAGAGUAACGGAGGAGCACGAAGGUGGGCUAAUCACGGUUGGACAUCGUGAGGUUAGUGCAAUGGCAUAAGCCCGCUUGACUGCGAGAAUGACAAUUCGAGCAGGUGCGAAAGCAGGUCAUAGUGAUCCGGUGGUUCUGAAUGGAAGGGCCAUCGCUCAACGGAUAAAAGGUACUCCGGGGAUAACAGGCUGAUACCGCCCAAGAGUUCAUAUCGACGGCGGUGUUUGGCACCUCGAUGUCGGCUCAUCACAUCCUGGGGCUGAAGUCGGUCCCAAGGGUAUGGCUGUUCGCCAUUUAAAGUGGUACGCGAGCUGGGUUUAGAACGUCGUGAGACAGUUCGGUCCCUAUCUGCCGUGGGCGUUGGAAGAUUGAAGGGGGCUGCUCCUAGUACGAGAGGACCGGAGUGGACGAACCUCUGGUGUUCGGGUUGUGUCGCCAGACGCAUUGCCCGGUAGCUAAGUUCGGAAUCGAUAACCGCUGAAAGCAUCUAAGCGGGAAGCGAGCCCUGAGAUGAGUCUUCCCUGAUACUUUAAGUAUCCUAAAGGGUUGUCGGAGACUACGACGUUGAUAGGUCAGGUGUGUAAGUGCUGUGAGGCAUUGAGCUAACUGAUACUAAUUGCCCGUGAGGCUUAACCAU
rnacentral:rRNA from 1 species